rnacentral:lncRNA from 1 species
UUGGUUUCGUGGUCUUAGAAGACCAGAAUUUGGGAGUUCUUUGGCUUCAAAAGCCAGGGUAAUUUGCUUCAAAUUUGAUAAAAGGACAAAUCGUAGAGCUGAAAGAGCAUGAAUAGAUGCAUCAAUUUGAAUCCCUCUUUAACUAAGAAAACAACAUUUAAUUGCAGAAUAAAUACACCAGCUUGAUGCUCAACUCUUAAUGGUGGGAUAAAUGUUAUAGUAACAAUGACAGCAAGAAAAUCACUUCUAUCUUGAACCAACAAAUAACUAGGUAGGUUGUGCUCCAUUAGACCUUGAGGCACAGGAUGAUCUUGCUGUGUUCAAUGCCCCUGAUUUGAUUUCUCGUGAAAGAGCCAAGUGACGAUGAGGAUUCCCUUCAUACAACUUGUCCGAUGAAGCACAGAUCUUCCCUUUGGUUUGCACAUUCAAGAACUAACUAGAAACAUGAACAACUAAUGGAUUUUCCUUCUACAAAACCUCAAAUUGAAUUUCGCAUGAAGAAACUUUCUGUUCGUCCAAUCUUGGAUGAGGAUGCUUUAAUGGAAGUUUCACCUUGAACGAUAAGGACAGACAAACUACCAAAGAAACCCUUAUUCAAACUUCAACACAGAGAGAGAGAGAGAGAGAGAGAGAGAGAGAGAGAGAGAGAGAGAGAGAGAGAGAGAGAAGAACAACUAACUAACUAACGUAGUACGUAGAGUAGAGUAACGUAACGUAACGUUAAGUUAAUUAAUUAUAACUAACUAAACUAAACUAACNNNNNNNNNNNNNNNNNNNNAGAGAGAGAGAGAUGAAACAAAACAUCUUAAACAAGUUGCAGAAUGAGAACACUUGUUUUAAAAUAAAUUUGUCUAUAACAAAAAACCACUUCGAAUUGUUUUGAAACACAACGCACUAACAGUCCCCCACCAAUUUCUAAAUAGUUAGACUACAAGAGUGAUACAUUAAAAAAGGUAGUGGAUAAAGGUGCCUUGAAGACUUGAACCUCCAGUAGAAUGUUUACAGAGGACCUCAAGUGGAAGACCUUGAACUUGUUCAUGUAUAGAUAAGCUUCCCACAUAUCCUGCAAAUCUUUAGGUUGCUCUCUUCUAAAAGUGAGCAUAUUUAUGAUCCUAUACUCGAUAUCCCAAUUUCAAGGACACCCUAGAGAAGGCCUAAUUAUCAUAGGAAGCAGCCUUCCAUGCACACUCGUAAUAGGUGAAUCCACCAAGGGUACCCUUGCAACUCAAUACCCAAUCUAGGUACAUAGUCAUCUAGGUACAUGAACUCACUAACAUCAAAGCUCAAGAUCUAUGUCCUUGUGUGAAUUGAAUGUGAACUGGAGUAAAUAGAGAAAAUCAAUGGAAAAAAAAAGAAAGACAAACAAUAGCAAAGGCACACAUUUGAGACACGUCACACCAUUGAAUGUAUAAUAUAUUCAAAUAUUUUUUUUUUUUAUAUUAAUAUGCCAAGUACAGAGAAAAGACAAAGUUGCUUGACAUGGAACCAUAAAGCACAUGAAAACUCAAAGAAAAGAAAAUAUAUAUAGAUGGGUACCUAAGAUUUAUAAAAAUCAUCAUCUUAUACCAUGUGGGUAUCACAAUGUCACACUGUGCUGCUUUUCUUCAAGUUAUCCGUGCUUUGCUUCGAAUUCAAUCCUGAUUCUAUCUUUUAAUGCAAUAUCUACAACUCCAAUGCAUGAUGACUCCGGAAAGGCUUUACCGUAAACUCAAUAGCAGAAUGGAAUCUCUUGAAGUCUCUAAGACCUUAGAAUUCAAAUUCGAUCACCCUUUGUAUGGACAGGGAAA